rnacentral:misc_RNA from 1 species
GAUGAAGAACGUAGCGAAAUGCGAUAAGUAAUGUGAAUUGCAGAAUUCAGUGAAUCAUCGAAUCUUUGAACGCACCUUGCACCCUUUGGCAUUCCGAAGGGUAUGCUCGUUUGAGUGUCAUUGUACUCUCACACUCCCGAUCUUUGGAUUGGGAGCGGUGGACUUGGGUUUGCUGCUUGCCGUGGCUCACCUCAAAUGGAUUAGUGCACCUCUUGGUUGGACAUAGUACGGCGUGAUAAGUGUCUUCGCCGGCACCUCACUAGAGGGUGGCUGAUCAGGAGCUCUGUGCUUCUAACUGUCUUCGGACAACAACUGACAACUUGACCUCAAAUCGAGUAGGACCACCCGCUGAACUUAAGCAUAUCAAUAAGCGGAGGA